GACGAACGCUGGCGGCGUGCUUAACACAUGCAAGUCGAACGGAAAGACCCUGCUUUUGUGGGGUGCUCGAGUGGCGAACGGGUGAGUAACACGUGAGUAACCUGCCCUUGACUUUGGGAUAACUUCAGGAAACUGGGGCUAAUACCGGAUAGGAGCUCCUGCUGCAUGGUGGUGGUUGGAAAGUUUCGGCGGUUGGGGAUGGACUCGCGGCUUAUCAGCUUGUUGGUGGGGUAGUGGCUUACCAAGGCUUUGACGGGUAGCCGGCCUGAGAGGGUGACCGGCCACAUUGGGACUGAGAUACGGCCCAGACUCCUACGGGAGGCAGCAGUGGGGAAUAUUGCACAAUGGGCGGAAGCCUGAUGCAGCAACGCCGCGUGCGGGAUGACGGCCUUCGGGUUGUAAACCGCUUUCGCCUGUGACGAAGCGUGAGUGACGGUAAUGGGUAAAGAAGCACCGGCUAACUACGUG
rnacentral:rRNA from 1 species